GUUAUCCCAAAUAUAACACUAGUUACAUUUGACCACUUUCUAAAUGGCAUUGUGUAUUCAUAAUCUAACAUUCUUUUAUUAAAACCAAAAUGAGAACACAGAGUGUUGAAACCACGGGAAAAUGACACCUAUGUUUUAUGUGCUUUUAUUUUAUUUUCCCAAUGAAUAUGCUUAUGAAGUGCAUCUAAAUAUUAUUGUCUUAGGUGUCUCAUAGGACUUAUGGCUGAAUAUUGUAUAUUUUUUAACAAUGAAUAUUGUUACAGUGAACUACAUUUAAGUGACAUCAAAAUACAAUAAUUUCUUAUUCUUAAAAAUGUCAACUUGCUGGGAUGAACCCCACUCCAAUUACCCUUUCCUCCAUCCAUUCAUCCACUAACACAAAACUCUUAGAACCCAAACAUCCAAGUCAAACCUUGUUACCUUCCCAUAUACAUAUAGGAACACAUACUAAUAACGAAGUUACUGAAUUAUGUACUCCACUGUCCCUCUGCAUGGCCAUGCUACCAGCUGUGUUAGGUAAUAUUAUGUAAUGCUGGCCACCUGGUAUAUGUUCUCUGGCCUGGUGAGGUGGGCUCCUCCCCUUACUUGUCAUCUUAGGAGUAAUUAGCCAAUGAUUAGAUUUUUUGUACCAGACCAUCACUGUCGUAUUGCUCUAGGAAUGAGACAGUUGUCUCAUUAUGUUUCAGUUAAACGAAUAGGCGACAACUACUACACUUCAUUGAUUUCAUUGGAAUCAUUAGGAAUUUUGUUCAGUCAAUCUGUGUGUACUGACUUGUGCUGCUAGGUCGAGGAAACUUAUCAAGGACUUUGGAAGUAAAGGAAUUAUUCCUUCAGUAGAUGAUUCUCUUUGGACGGGUCUUUUGGAUCUGGUAUUGCUGGAACUAAGGUCAGGGAUCGGAUUGUGGAGGCUCCCCAAAUUGGCAGCCUCCUGGUCCACACUCCCAGUUCCAAUCUUUGCCUGUAAAGCCCAAUCUUUGUGAUUUCUGCAGGUUCCCUUCGAGUCACAGCUGAUUUCUUUGAAAACAAGAAACCAGAAGUUUGCAGUCACACUAAGAGCCUUUUACAGGUGGGGACAAGGACGUGGUGAGAGACACAACUGGUUUGUUACCAAGUAUCCCUACCAUGAAGUCAAGGCUGGAUUUGGGUCAGAUUUUGUGUCUGCUGAAUCGCCCUUACACUAAGCCAGUGACUUAGAUCUUUACUGUGCCGGAUGUUGAUGCGAAUCUCAGGGAACUUCCAAUGGAGUACACACACGCUGCAUGGCACUGCAUUCUGUAUCUGGCAAUUAAGGAAGUAAUCAUAUUCCUUGCUGAGAAACUGACAGGGAGAACCUACUCUUCAAUCAACCCAGAGUGUCAAAGGACAGAAUUGCAUUCAAAAGAGCUUUAAUUGCAUAAUUAUGAUGCUCCUUUGAAAGGGUUACUGUUUUAAUGAAUGCAGCCAACUCAUUGAUGCCUUGAUGUGGUUUGGUUGUUCUCUGUACCUUUCUUUCAUUCACAUAUGGACCCGUGAAGAUUCCAGGGUAGAAUAAGUCUUCAGCAACCCAUACUUGCCGUAAAAGGCGACUAUGCUUGUCGUAAAAGGCGACUAACAGGAUCGGGUGGUCAGGCU
rnacentral:lncRNA from 1 species